CCUGUGGUCACCAGCAGGCGGGCAGCCUUUCUAAACUGCAUGGCCACGGCCCCUCUCCCCACACCCCUGCAGCAAGAGUCCCCCACAAUGACCUUGGAGACGCAGAAACAAACCCACCCAGUGGCCUCCCAGGUCUGGGACCCAGCUCAAGGCCUCAGCUGAGAGAGGACAGAGCUGCCUGCAGCCCCCAAGUAAAAGGAACUUGAGAAACAGAAAUCAACAGCACAGGAGGGAGAUGUGAGCCAGAAAAGUCGUUAGAACAGCGAGGUGGAGGAGGAAGAGCCACCUCACCCAGGCACUGAAAUUCCUCCCAAGAGGCAGAGGUGGCGAGCAGGCCGCAGAGGGGAGGGCGCGGGGGUAGGGGCCACCCCUGCGUGAUAACUGCAGACUCAGGAUCAACAUCGGAGAAGCCGGGUGAGAAACCAGCACUAACCUGCAGAGGCAGAAACCAGAUAUCACAUCAGUCUCUAAGUGGAACGGGCUUGAAAGCCAGAUAAGGAAUCCCAGGGCCCCUGGGUUCCACACGGAGGCCAAGGCCAAGCUGAACAGGUCCUUCCCUUCCCUGUCUUCAGCCAAGGGGCCAUGGGCAGAUGGGGCAGGGCUCUGGGGCAGAGAACAUUCCUUAAACUGCUAUAAAGACAAACCGAGAACACGCUAGAGAAGUCCUCCCCUGCUGGCAAAACCACCGUAAGCAGAGUGCAAGCCCCCAAAACUCUCAACAGUUAUAAGCAGCCCAUUUGGGGUCAGUGUGGUAAAUUCGACAAAUCUGACCAGCCAGGUGGUCACUGACAUGGAGCCGCCCAGGUGUGUGGGCGCAUGGGGGCUUCCUAACUUGUGCACUCCUGGUCUCAUGCCCACAUCCCUAGAACUGCAGUCAGCAGCCAUCGUGUGCCUGAGUGCCCAGGGACUGUGUGCGUGGGUUUUCUUUGCAGCCUGGCACUCCCACGCACCUGCACGCACAUCUGUACACACACGUUUCCUCUUCCACGGCCUCCCGGGUCCACACGGUCACCCCAGUAUGUCAUGGAUGCUAG
rnacentral:lncRNA from 1 species